GCUGGAGACCAGCCCUGGAGCCAGGAGGAACCUGUGGGCCACCCAACGUCCGCAGUUCGUAGGUAGCCCUGUGCCGAUCAGGUAGCCUGGGAGGAAGGAAAGGUGUUCUCCUCCAGUUUUAGUGCUCCCUGGCUCUCAGCUUUCCAUUCCUGUCCACAGAAGUGUCAAGAAAGGGCCGGUUUUAUGUUUAACUCUGUUAGAGAGAGGGCUGUAAACUCAGAGCUCACGUUAAUAGGAUACUUGUCUUUCGGAGCCAAAAUAGAGGGUGAGAGACCAGGGUCUCUCACAGCUAAAUACUGUUCUAUUGUGCUGCGUUUUAUAUCUGCUGGUAGGAGCGACCAAAAGCUGUGUGGGAACACGCGUUAAAUGUGUUAUUUCGUUAAAAUGUCACUUUCUCAAGUAUCAUGUGCUGUGUUUGCACGGGGGCUUGCGGGCUCUCAGUAUGCGACUGCGGAGAGCAGCCGGAGCAUAGGACCACCCGAAGGCGUCCAGCUGCUUCCAAUGCAGCGCCGCAGAGGGGGGACAACCUGCGGUGGGAGGUGUGCGUGAACUUCCACUGCUGGUCUCAGCAUCCGCCUCUGCUGCCACCCGGGCUGGCUCUGCUGGUGGCUUGGGCUUUGUGGGAGAGCCACUGUGUGAUGCAGGACAGAGGAUGUCUUCCCGGUAGGAGAAAAGCAUGGUAGGAGAGGGAAGGAGACCCUCCAGAAAGGGUAAAAUCCUUCCCAAGUUCGUGUAGAUGGGGAUGGCUUGAUGGCCACGGAGGGCUGAGUCCCAGUCUCCUCCUGGUGCUUCUGCAGAAAAGGAGUCGGGGAGCUGGAGGCUUUGUUGCACUGUUAAAGGCAACAAUGUUUUUUGGAAAGUGUUGGGUUAUUAAGUGCAGAUUUCCACGCCCAGUUAAGGCUGAAAUUUGCUGAGAAGGGAGAGGAGUUUGUGUCAGGUGUCUAAUGCCCACUGUCGUGGUUUAACCCGGCCAGCAACCAAGCCCCAUGCCGCCGCUCGCUCACUCCCCCCUGGUGGGAUGGGGGAGAGAUUGGAAGGGUAGAAGUGAGAAAACUCGUGGGUUGAGAUAAAGACAGUUUAAUAGGUAAAGAAAAAGCUGCACACGUGGGCAAAGCAAGCCAAGGAAUUCAUUCCCCACUUCCCAUGGCAGGCAGGUGUUCAGCCAUUGCCAGGAAAGCAGGGCUCUAUCACGCGUUAACGGCGAUUUGGGAAGACAAACGCCAUCACUCCGAACAUCCCCCCUUCCUCCUUCUUCCCCCAGCUUUAUAUGCUGAGCAUGACAUCAUAUGGUAUGGGAUAUCCCUUUGGUCAUUGGGGUCAGCUGUCCCAGCUGUGUCCCCUCCAACCCCUUGUGCACCCCCAGCUACUCGUUGGUGGGGUGGGGUGAGGAGCAGAGGAGACCUCGGCUCUGUGUAAGCACUGCUCAGCAGUAACAGAAACAUCUCUCUGUAACAAAAACAUCUCUAUACUAUCAACGCUGGUCUCAGCACAAACCCAAAACAUCACCCCAUAGCAGCUACUGUGAACAAAAUUAACUCUUUCCCAGCCAAAACCAGUGCAAAGGGCAAAGUGCCCUUUCUCAUGCCAGAGAUGUAACUUGCUUUCCUGCCACCCCUUUGUCUCUCCUGCUGUGGACCCCCACAUCUUCAUAUACUCACAGUACUUGCUUUGACUGUCUCCUGGAGCUUGGCUCUCUUUUUACACCCUUGAACUCAUUGUCAAGGCUGUAGACAUACUUGAUUGGGAAAGCAACAAGGUCAACCCCCAAUGCAUCCGCUUGGUGAUGGUCCUGUUGCUUGUUCUGAAGUCCCUGGGUGGUAAAGACAACAACUGCUGAAGUUGUUUGAGAAAUUGUCCUCUUUUGAGCUGUAUCUUCUCUAAAGCUUUGGGAGAUGGAGCAUCCCAAGAGCGUUCCCAGGCUCAAAACCAGGGAUUGACAUGUACCUUUAUAUGUGAUUGGCUCUGACUCCUCGAGGGGUGGUUGCCUUAGAGAUCUUGAGGCUUUUUUUGCUGUAACAGGAAAGAAGGUGUUGGGUAUGGUGCUAGACUUUAUCUGGCUGAGAAGAUCAGCAUCUCUGCAGGCAUCUGAAAACAGGCAGGCAAAUCUCAGGCACCUUAUUACUGGACUCGUGAAGAGGGAAUCCUGGAGUGGGCCUAAGCCAUGCUUAGAAAAGUGCAGAAGAAGCUGUUCAAUGGACACUGCCUCGCUUGGCAGAAAAGGCAUCCAAACCAUCGCUUGAAAGGGGGGUGGUGAUACAGCUGCUCUUGAGUCAGAGGACUGUGUCAACACCUCUUCUAGGAGAGUGGCUAAGCUGCCUCCUGAUUGCAGAGAGCAGCUUUCGUGGGGGGCAAGGGAGGACCUUGUGCAUCUUGUAAGCACGCUGCAGGACGGCUGGAUAUUCUGAAAGGUUGACCUGGAGGGGCUUUGCAAGUAGGUCUUUGCUGUGCCCCAGCCUUAAUUUGUGAUCCAUGAAUGUUCCUGCCUUGCAGUUCUUCUGAUCCAAUGGUAGUGCCAGGAAUCUCUUUCUCCCAUACCCUUUUCUCCUGUCUUCUGGCAGCUGCAAGCUGGACAUCUGAGUUUCCAAGCCAGAGCUCAGACUUGUGCCACCAGAAAUUAAUCUGUGGGGGUGAUGAGUGGGACAACUCUCCAGGGCAGCAGGAGACAAAUGUUGUUGGAAGCAACUAGACCCCUACUUUGGGAUGAGGACCGUUCUGUUUGCCAUGUCUGGGGUCGCGGGGGUGGCUUGGGACCAGCGUGCUGCGGUAACAGGAAUGAGGACAGAUUCAAAUAAGACAAGUGAUACGUUACUUUUAGCACCGGGGAAAGCAGAAAUGGCUUGGUGAAGCUGGGCGACAUUUCUGGAGCAAUGUAAGGUUUUUUUAAACAAUUUCCUGAUUACUUUGACUGCUUGAUCUUAUAGCCUGAGCAUUGCCCUGGUGUUAUUUCUUUGCAUUUCAUUUCCUAAGACGUCCUGAAGAGCAGGGAGUGAAAAAUAAAAUAAAAACCUGGCGUGUAUUUUACAAGCUGCGCCGGUUUCUCCUGCAGACCCCGUCAACUCUUUCAACCACAGCUGCUCCGAUAGCUGAGGUCACUGGAAAGGCUCCUACUGACUUCAGGGGGCUUUUGAACUCACCCGUGAGUAGUGAUGCACUUGCAAGCGUGACCCUAAGUCCAUUUUGGUGGAAAAGCUCCUGCUGGCUCCAGGAGAGGCUGGGUCACAGCCUGGCCGUGGGCUCUCACGAUGGAGGAGCCACCUUCAUAACGCCGUUGCUGCUGGCUGCACCAUAAGCUAGUGGAGCUGCAUUGGCUACGUGCCACCCGCUACUUGCCCAACAGCAAGGGAAGGAGAAGCACCUCAGUUUUGAGUCUUUGGGGUGGAUCAGAGUUUUCAGCCCAUUGCUGGGCUCCAGUCGUCUUCCUAGAGUGUUUGUGGCAGCUCCUGAGCAUCAGGUUUUUUUUUCCUUUGAGCUCCACACCAAGAAGUGCAGUUAGAAUUUUAUUUUUUUUGAAUGGGGAAAGUUUCUUGCCUCAGGCCAAGCACAGAAAUGUGGAAUGGAUUUGGAUCAAACUUUUUUUUUUUCUUUUGGAAUUUUAUUUAAAGAAAAGAAAAAAAGUGCCUUGGGCAAGAGCUGAAGCAUGGAAAAUUUUAUCCCAAAAGGUAGAUGCUUUGUGAAAUUAUGAGCGUGUGAAAACAGGUGGUUAAACUGAAAUGGUUUUACAGAUUUAAGUACAGAGGGUGCUACCAAAAACCUGUUAUAAAUCCUGGAGUGAACUCCUCUUGAAAGGCAGAGGUAGAAGAACAGGCCAUCAGCAAGUAACCUGAACCACUACCAAACCCACAGGCGGCUCCAGAACCGGUAAAGAAGCCAAGCAAAAUGAGAAGAGGCUUUCUGAAAGGUCAGCAAGGGAGCCAAGUCCAGGCCUGGGCUUCGGUAUUUAAACUCAGUCUCAAAAACUACACCCUAGUGACUGGUAUCUGGCUGGGACAAAUUUUACUAGCAGCACCUGAUCCAAAACCUGCUCGAGUCAACGGCAAAGGCUCUGCGAACUCCUCCGAGUGUUGGAUCGGGGCCUUAAACGUGCAGCCAGGAGGGAAAACAUGUAAGGACUGUGCUGCAGCACGUUGCACGGUGGAGGAAGAGCUGGUGCUACGCGAGAGCCAGAACCGCGCUGCCCUUUGCCGUGAAAACCAGUGGGCGCGCUGCUGAAGGUGGAAAUGGGGUCCCGGGGAGAUGAAAGUCACGGUGAGGUGGAGGUCUGCAGCUGUGAAAGAUCAGGAGGGAAGGCUUUACAGCCGUUAUUGGUGUCAUUACAGCUAAAGGGGCUAAUUACAGCAAGGUGCUGUAUAAACACGCGACGGGAGAGGGACCCUGUCCUGCGCUGCUCGUGGUUGUUGGCUCAGAAAAGGGGUAGCGGUGCUCCUCAGCUGCCUGGAUGGUUCCCAGUGAGCACAAUGUGUGGCUGUCAUGGUCCUCCUGGCCAUGGACUGUGUUUCUGCUGGAGCCCGGGGCCUCAGAAACACGUUUUCUGGGUGGAUUAAGUUAAAGUAAGAAAGAAAAUACAUUUGCUUGUUCAAUUAGUGGAAUUAGUGAGUGAAAGUUCCUUUUCUGCGGAUGACCAUGCCUACACGUGUGUGUAUAUGCUGUAAAGGGUGCCUGACUCCAUUUUUUAUACUGGCAGACUGUUUAUUGUCUUCAAACGUCCAGAUUGUUGUCCUAUGCACUCAUGAGAUGAAAAAGAAUCUAUUUUGGUCCUAUUGUCUUAUCCCUUCUUCAGCUGUCCUCGCAGAAAUGUAGGACCUCCCCAACUCAUCCCGACGAUCAGCCUCAGAGCCCCACCAAGACAACACGCGCCAGGAAACGUCCACCUUUGUGCAGACCUGAUGUAGCUCAGCAGGGACCUGCCAGGGAAUGAGGUGCUGCUCCCAGUCCCCUACUCCCUCGAGUUCAGCCUCGUCCCACCGAGUUUCUCCCAGGGGGACCACUGAGGACGGCGGGGGGGGGACAGUGGUCCCAGCUUCAUUGUUAACGCGCGCUGGAGUACUGCUUUGAGGCUCCCCGUGUCACCGGGAAUGGGCUGAUUUCUGUCGUGUUGCUAAAAUGACCUCACCACUGCGCUUUGACCCCUGACAGCUUUGUCUUCAAGUCCCUGUGAAGCACUUCAGCACUCGCAGUGGUGAAGCUGCAGCCUUUCGAGAUGACUUCAAGUCCACCAUCCAGGUUUUCUUGGAGGAUGUAAUUUUCAAGGUGGUGAAACCUCACGGCAGCAAGAGCCGAACAAGUUCACAGGGAGCUGAUCACACCACUUGCAAGAACCCAGGCUACAUUUAUUUCUCCUGGUUUAAUGCUGGAGAGGAAAAGGAAGGAAGAGAACAUUUCUGACACAGGAUCUGGCAGCACAGCAUCUAAGGUAGGGCUGAUUUGAAGGCAGCGCCCAAUCUGCCCAAGGCAAUUAGCACCAAAGACGCAGCAGAAUGUAACUAAGCUUGAAGACACUGUCUUCUCUUAAGCUGAAGGACUUUUAUUAGGACAACUGUUACUCUCAGAAAUUUCCAGCCACGUGGGCAUUUCUUCAAGGACCGUACACAAACCUGGACUAUGUUUCCAGCUGUACAGCUGGCCACUCUUCUGGAGCCCAGCAUCUGGGAAGGACAAUCGGCUCUUCCCUCGGUCAACCCGAGCCGGUUUGCACGCUGCCUGUCACUCUCCCACAUCCUAACGCAUCUCCUUUGCUGCAGCACCGGGAUCUGGGCGCCCAGCAGCAUUCCUUGCUUCAAGCCUCCUAGAAGAAAACCAAGCGCAAGAAAACCAAGAAAACUUGAAGGUCAGAGAGGGUCACACUUGUUCUAUGCUAGCAAUCCCUUGCUGGCAAGGACCCACUCUGGAGCAUCCAAUUCCUUGUCAUUACCUAGAGGAAAAGCUGCUUUUGCCUUCCUUUGGCUUUCUUAGAAGCUGAACCCUUUUCCUCAGGUGAGGAAAGGGGCUCGCCUCUCCAAGGUGACCUGAUGCAUGUCCUCACGCCAGCGCCCAGCGGAUAUAGGGCAGAGAAAGGCUUUCCAAGAGGGACAACACAGUGCUGGUACAUCACAGAGUCUUUUCACCGGGGUGCUGGGGUAUGUCUGCUCUUGCACGAUGAUGAGGCAUAGGGCAAAAUCUGAGCAGGAUGAACCCAAGUGCUGUAGAGUAAGUUAUCGGGGAAGAAAAAGCUGAUUUGCAGCUUGAGCAGUAGGGAACUAAUAGCUUUUUCAUCACCUUGUGUUAGAAGUCAAAGCUGCUGAAGAGCUGGCCGUGACCAGAACCACAAGCAGAACCCAAAAGCAAAGUCUCUGGGCAGAGACAGGCUUGUGCCAAAUGGGGAGCAGCCUUGGUCUGCAGAGAGGAGACAGGCAGGGCCAAGGACCCGGAGCGUCCCUGUCCCUUAGUCGGUGUUCAGUCACCCAUGGGCUCUUUCUUGGCAGAGGAAUGAAAUGUUGCUAAUUGCUUACUCCCCAAGGUCAGGAUGAAGUUAGAAGGUGAAACAAUAGGUGCGAGCCCCGGAAAUGAGGAGUUUAAAGGUGACAAAGUGGCCCUGGGCUGGAGUUUCCAGCUGUCUUUGUUGCUUCCUAGGGGAACGAAAUAAACACUCAAACCUGACCAAAGCCCCUCCUGGAGGAUACAUUUCCUGGGAAUUCUCACUUUGAUGCCUGUGAAAUCCAUAAACUACUUCUUCUUGUAGCUGGGAAACUACAGUCAAGCUCCUGUGGGGCUGUCCUUGGUUAAAUAAAUGACGGUAAAAAUAACUCACAAACGCAACACCAAUGUGGGCACGUAAAUCAACGCCUGAAGUGCCUGUGAAGGUAAGGUGCCCUCUUUUUUUUUGGGGGGGGGGGGCGUUUGCCUAUGAAGGAGUCAUGCUGCAAGAGAAAUCCAGUCGACAGGGAGGAGGCAAAGUCCCAUCAAGACCUGACUCACAAAUCCAUCAGCGAUUUCGUUUCAGAAGAGAUACAAGGAUUUAACGCGGCUGUCAACAGCAUUCUUCAGGUUACGCUGCUGCAUAAAAGAGAGUGUUAGAACCUGGGACUUAAACUAAACAGAUUUCCUAUAGGAAACACACACAAAAUUACAUUGCUUCUAAAGUUACUUUUAUAGACAUUUUCCCUGAGAAAUAUUUCUCCCUGGAAAAAUAAAUUCACAGGAUGUAAUUAAAACAGUUAUAUGUGUACACUGGAAUGGCCCCCUUUAAGUGCUUCACCAAAUGCACCACUAAAUAAAGGAAUGA